CUGUGAAAUACCGGUGGGAGACAACGCUGAGUCAGGUGCACUGCUGCAGGAGAUCAUGGAGUGUAAGAAGAGGUCUGCGGAGCUGGCAGCUGCUCUCCAAGAGCAGGCCAAAAUCCGUCAGGCACUGAAGGAGGAGCUGGAGCUGGAGAUGAGCAACCUCCAGAAUACACUACAGAUGGUCCAAAAGCGCACUGCCCCCAGGAGGAAGAUGACACGCAGGGAAGCGCACAUGAGUUCCCUGCUGCAGGAGACAGUGGCAGUGCGACUGGAUGAGCAGACGGCAGCACAGAAGCACCCACUUGUAACUACCUGGCUGCGGGCGUUUCUGCUGUUCUUGGGCCUGCUGCAGCUUGUCUUCUUCACCCUGUUUGUGCUGCAGAAGGACAUCCUUCGCUGGGUCCUGCCUGGAGAGCUGGCGACUGCCCUUGGCAUCCGUCCACCUAAGCCCACUCUUUUCUGACCCCAGAACACACUGCGGCCCUUCAUCGGGACAACAUUGGGUCUGCACAAACAUGAGGGGUCUGUCACCAUUGUCACCCUGUCACCAAUCAUGUCAAUAAAAUCC
ensembl:lncRNA